UAAAUGCUGUUGGAAUGGGGUGGUGUCAGUGGGAGGGGAAAAGAAUCCCUGAAACUUCCGGGUAAAGAGUUUAGGCAUGUCCCAAUUAAGCCAUUUUGAAAAUUAAGGAGACAUUUGUCCUCCUUCCGCCCACCUUCGUGAACCAGAAACUGUUCUCUUUGCUUUCUUGAACAGGCUUUCCAUUAGCAUCUAGGAAAUAAUUUCACAGCAUUAAGUGUGCUCUUUGGAAUGUGUAGGGGAAGACCAAUGCAUCACCAUAUGCUGAGGCUAAAUUUACCUGGAAGGGAAGGGCCCCACCCCCAGUUCUACCUAUCUGAACAGCACAGCUUGGAUGAACUCUUCCGUAAAGUCCAAUGCAUCAUUCAAGGAGAUGUUGCAAGAACUGUGAUCAUUGCCUAUAAGUAUGAUUCAGAAUUUUGAUAUUCUGGGAUGAUGUAGUCCUUUGCUGCCCUGUGUGCAACUGUGCAGUGAUUGAUACAAACGCUAGAUGAUGAACUGUUCUACAAUACUAGGCCUUCUAGUUUCUGUACCUCAUGUAGCUAUCAACCCAUAUUGGCAAACUCUCUUAAAGCAAUAUUAUCAGUUUAAAGCAGGAGGAGACAUAACUGUCUAAGCUCCUCAGUGCGAAAUAUUAAAAAAUACAGUCAAACAUUUUGUUUUGGCACCCAGCAACGGAAUUUUCUUUGCUGAGGAUCCUUCUAUCGGAUCUCUUAUGUACUAAUAGCCAAGUGGCCCUGAUCUAAGGAUACUUAAAUACAGAGAUUGGAGCCAAGACAGCUCUUCCUACACCCCAGGUUUGCAGAAAAAUCUGAAAUCUAAAAAUAUAUAUUGGAAGAGGGAGGUGUGGAAGCUCACUGGGUGACUUUGAUCUAGACACACACUCUCAGCCUAUCCUUCCAUAAGGGAAAUAGGACAUGGUGGGAGAGGGGAAGACGAGAUUCUCCCUGUGAUUCCUUGUGGGUGUCCCACUUGUUGAUUGCUAUUCUUAGCUACAUUCCCAAACUCAUGUGUCCCAAUUGUAGGCCCUGUCCCCUAAAUCAGAACCACUGUCAUGUACAGUUCAGUAGACCAAUGGCACAUAGUAAAAAUAUACAUAAAACUGUGAUCCUUCUAUUGCAACUAUUUCAGCCACAAUUUCUGCCUGACCCAUGCAAACAAAGCCUUCCAAGAUACAUGAAUAAAGCCAUUGUAGGGCUUGCUGAAGAAGCAUCAGUUCACACUGCACUUAGAAACCAUUAGGAAACCAAGGCUUUUAAAAUUAGAAGGGCAUGACCUUAAAAUGGGAUGGCAUGCCUACCUCUGGUACCAAUAAAAAGAUACACAAAUAUUUUAAGAAUCACAUAAUAAGAAAAUCCCUCAUGAAUGUCUGGGAGAAAAUAAAACCCCAAAUAUAUACCAAAACACGAAGAUGGAUAUCACCAGUGGAAGCAUUCACCCAACUAAAUCUACUAAGGUGGGAGAAUAUCCACACCUAUGAACAGCUAUUGGGGGAGAAUGGUAAGCUAAAGUCAACAGAAGAACUAAAAGAACAGAACAUAGAGACAGGAUGGUGGCUAAGAGCACAAAUAGAAUCCAGAUUCGCCAAAGACAAAACACAGGGAUUCUACACGGAACGAUGCCCUUUUGAUAAACUGCUGUUAGAAACAGACGGAAAACUGAUAGGAAAAUUAUAUGCCUUCAUGAAACAAUUGAAGACAGAAGAGGAGGCUUUAAAAGUCCAUAUGGUAAAGUGGGAACAAAAUCUGGGGCAUGGCAUAGAUCUGGAGCAAUGGCUACAGUCAUGAAGCGUAAACAUCAAAAUAAGAGAAUCAACCACCUUUAAAGAAAACCUGUAUAAAAUGUUCUAUAGGUGGUAUGUGACACCAGAAAAAUUAGCAAAGAUGUACACUGAAAUACCCAAUAAAUGUUGGAAGUGCAAAGAAAAAGUGGGCACCUUUUCCCAUACAUAUAUGGUGGCUAUGUAAAAAAGCGAAGAGAUAUUGGAAAGGGAUACAUGAGCUGUUGCAAGAGGUGCUAGAAAUAAACAUACCCUAUAAACCGGAAAUGCUCCUGUUAAAUAUAAUACUGGAGGAGCUAAAUAGGGAAAAUAGAUAUUUGAUAAUACAUAUAAUAACAGCAGCAAGAAUAGUAUAUGCCAGAUACUGGAAAAACACAGAUAUACCAACAAAAGAAGAAUUCAUAGAGAAAGUCUUAGAGACGGCAGAAAUGGAUACACUGACAGAAUUAAUAAAAGAAAUAAAUGGACAUGAUCGAAAACAAAAAUGGACCCCGUUUUAUAGAUGGGUUAAACAGAAGUAUAAAAUAACUAUAUGUUAGCAGAAUACAAUCAAAUGAAUGAGCAAAGUAAAGAAGUACUAGAAUUAAAGAAUGCAGACUUAUAGUGAUAAUAGUGUAGUGAAAAUAGUAUAAUUAUGAUGGAACUGUAGAGAUGAAAUGGAAUGUAUUAUUUAUAACAUGUAUCCAAAGAAUGUAAAACUUUUGAUUAAUUUUGUUAUUAGAGUAA